AACCAUAUGGUAAUAAUAUCUCAUGGUUUCCUAUGGUUUUUCUUGGUUCAUUGAUUCCCUAAAAGGAAAUAAUAUCUCAUGGUUUCACAAGGCAAGAAUCACCAUAACUUCUUGAUUUGAAAUGGAUCACACAAGUAUCUCCAUGACUCCAAAUAAGACAAGUAGUCAUACAUUCCUUUAUUGUUGAUCCUCACGGCCAAACUUGAUUGAUAUGAUCAUAUCCAGAUUCAUUGUACCUCCUCAAGGUAAGAUACACGCCUAAUCCAUAUAUGGAAGGUAGCAAUUUCAUUUAUUUGAAUUUCUUACCCCCUACCUUAAUUGUAUUCCGAUUAACUCUUCAUUUGGCAAGUCAUAAUCCCUUGUAAUAGAAUUGAAUCAUACGCCUUCUUGGAAAUGAAAUUAUCACACAACUUGCAC
rnacentral:lncRNA from 1 species